GACGAACGCUGACGGUGUGCUUUAGACAUGCAAGUCGAACGCGAAAGCCCUUCGGGGUUAGUAGAGUGGCGAACGGGUGAGUAACACGUGGGCAAUCUGCCCCUCGCAGGGGGACAACCGGAGGAAACUCCGGCUAAUACCCCGUACGCUUGCGGAACCGCAUGGUACCGCAAGGAAAGGUAGCUUCGGCCAUCCGGCGAGGGAUGAGCCCGCGGUGCAUUAGCUAGUUGGUGGGGUAACGGCCCACCAAGGCGACGAUGCAUAGCUGGUCUGAGAGGAUGAUCAGCCACACUGGGACUGAGACACGGCCCAGACUCCUACGGGAGGCAGCAGUCGGGAAUCUUGCGCAAUGGGCGAAAGCCUGACGCAGCAACACCGUGUGAGCGACGAAGGCC
rnacentral:rRNA from 1 species